CCUACGGGAGGCAGCAGUGGGGAAUCUUGGGCAAUGGGCGCAAGCCUGACCCAGCAACGCCGCGUGAAGGAAGAAGGCCCUCGGGUUGUAAACUUCUUUUAUCAGGGACGAAACAAAUGACGGUACCCUAUGAAUAAGCCACGGCUAACUACGUGCCAGCAGACGCGGUAAUACGUAGGUGGCAAGCGUUAUCCGGAUUUACUGGGUGUAAAGGGCGUGUAGGCGGGUCUGCAAGUCAGAUGUGAAAUCUCAUGGCUCAACCUUGGAACUGCAUUUGAAACUGGAGAACUUGAGUGAUGGAGAGGCAGGCGGAAUGCCGGGUGUAGCGGUGAAAUGCGUAGAGAUACGGAGGAACACCAGUGGCGAAGGCGGCCUGCUGGACAGUAACUGACGCUGAGGCGCGAAAGCGUGGGGAGCAAACAGGAUUAGAUACCCGUGUAGUC
rnacentral:rRNA from 1 species